UCACUUCGGGGAAACUGACAUCAUCUCGAAAUUAGGGUUCCCAUUGCUACUACUUCCUUGGUAUGGAUUGUAGCCUCUACGGUUUGAAGUUUCAUACCCAAUUUGCUGCUCUCUCAACGUCUAGAUCACCCCCUAAAAAAGCGUCCUUAGUGGUGCUCUUAAACUGUUCGACUUGCACCUCGAAUGGAAGCACCGGUGGAUCACGAAGAGGAGAAUGCUGCAUGAAAUCAAACUUCUUCCUAAAAGACAUGAUAGUUUCCCUUGAGUAAGAUAGUAAUGUAUAGAUCUCACUUAAGUUAAGAUCAUGGAUUCUACGACCGCGUUGUAGUUGCAUCAUCAACUCAUUACUGACAUACUCUUUAUUCUUCUUACAACUCUUUAUCAACUUUUCAUUAACCUUAUUUGUCUUCUCAUUUAGAAAUAAUUCAAUAUCCAUCUCUUUCUUAAUAUGCUCAUACCUCGGUAAAGCAAAGAAAUCAUCUAGAAGGCCACGAGCCUCUCAACUGAUGGCCAGACCAUUAGCUCAGCUUCAUUAGGACUGAAAACGAUUGUACAAGCCUUUAUAUCACACAAUAUGGAUAGCUCCCUCACUUUUUUAACUAACCCUACCCUCCUUUUCCUUAAACUUAUUGCUCUUGUGUUGUCAUUCUCUAUCCAUGCAAGUUUCACCUUCUUUCUUGUCAU